CAGGCAUUAGUUUAUUAAAAUAUUAAUUUUGGAGAUUAAUGAUAAGUUAUUUCUUAUGCUUGA
rnacentral:tRNA from 1 species